UACAGAGGGUGCAAGCGUUAAUCGGAUUUACUGGGCGUAAAGGGCGCGUAGGCGGUUUGACAAGUCUGAUGUGAAAUCUCUGGGCUCAACCCAGAGUCUGCAUUAGAAACUGUCGGGCUUGGGUAUGGGAGAGGUGAGUGGAAUUUCCGGUGUAGCGGUGAAAUGCGUAGAUAUCGGAAGGAACACCUGUGGCGAAAGCGGCUCACUGGACCAUAACUGACGCUGAGGCGCGAAAGCUAGGGGAGCAAACAGG
rnacentral:rRNA from 1 species